rnacentral:rRNA from 1 species
AAACUUCACACUGGGGGCAACCCCGAUGAGGGAAAUCCUAGUGCUAGGACAUUUGUUCUAGCUUUUCUCAAGCGUAGAUAACUUGAGGAAUAAGGGCUGGGUAAGACGGGUGCCAGCCGCCGCGGUAAUACCUGCAGCCCAAGUGGUGGUCGAUUUUAUUGAGUCUAAAACGUUCGUAGCCGGUUUGGUAAAUCUUUGGGUAAAUCGGGAGGCUCAACUUUCCGACUUCCGAAGAGACUGUCAAACUUGGGACCGGAGAGGCUAGAGGUACUUCUGGGGUAGGGGUAAAUCCUGUAAUCCUAGAAGGACCACCGGUGGCGAAGGCGUCUAGCUAGAACGGAUCCGACGGUGAGGGACGAAGCCCUGGGUCGCAAACGGGAUUAGAUACCCCGGUAGUCCAGGGUGUAAACGCUGCCGACUUGGUGUUGGAGGCCCUUCGGGGCAUUCAGUGCCGGAGAGAAGUUGUUAAGUCGGCUACUUGGGGAGUACGUCGCAAGGAUGAAACUUAAAGGAAUU